GAUGAACGCUGGCGGCGUGCCUAAUACAUGCAAGUCGAGCGACAGGACGAUAAGCUUGCUUCUCUGCUGUUAGCGGCGGACGGGUGAGUAACACGUGGAUAACCUACUUAUAAGACUGGGAUAACUUCGGGAAACCGGAGCUACUACUGGCUGAUAUUUUGAACCGCAUGGUUCAAAAGUGAAUGACGGUCUUGCUGUUACUUUUAGAUGGAUCCGCGCUGCAUUAGCUAGUUGGUAAGGUAACGGCUUACCAAGGCGACGAUGCGUAGCCGACCUGAGAGGAUGAUCAGCCACACUGGAACUGAGACACGGUCCAGACUCCUACGGGAGGCAGCAGUAGGGAAUCUUCCACAAUGGGCGAAAGCCUGACGGAGCAACGCCGCGUGAGUGAUGAAGGUCUUCGGAUCGUAAAACUCUGUUAUUAGGAAAGAACAGAUGUGUAAGUAACUGUGCACAUCUUGACGGUACCUAAUCAGAAAGCCACGGCUAACUACGUG
rnacentral:rRNA from 1 species